rnacentral:rRNA from 1 species
AGUGAACGCUGGCGGUAGGCCUAACACAUGCAAGUCGAACGGCAGCACAGUAAGAGCUUGCUCUUACGGGUGGCGAGUGGCGGACGGGUGAGGAAUACAUCGGAAUCUACUUUUUCGUGGGGGAUAACGUAGGGAAACUUACGCUAAUACCUCAUACGACCUACGGGUGAAAGCAGGGGAUCUUCGGACCUUGCGCGAUUGAAUGAGCCGAUGUCGGAUUAGCUAGUUGGCAGGGUAAAGGCCCACCAAGGCGACGAUCCGUAGCUGGUCUGAGAGGAUGAUCAGCCACACUGGAACUGAGACACGGUCCAGACUCCUACGGGAGGCAGCAGUGGGGAAUAUUGGACAAUGGGCGCAAGCCUGAUCCAGCCAUACCGCGUGGGUGAAGAAGGCCUUCGGGUUGUAAAGCCCUUUUGUUGGGAAAGAAAAGCAGCAGGUUAAUACCCCGCUGUUCUGACGGUACCCAAAGAAUAAGCACCGGCUAACUUCGUG